UACGUAGGGGACGAGCGUUGUCCGGAUUUAUUGGGCGUAAAGCGCGCGUAGGCGGCCGUUCGCGUCGGAUGUGAAAGCUCGAGGCUUAACCUCGAGAGGCCAUUCGAUACGGGACGGCUAGAGGCAGCUAGGGGAGAGUGGAAUUCCUGGUGUAGCGGUGAAAUGCGCAGAUAUCAGGAGGAACACCGGUGGCGAAGGCGGGUCUCUGGGCCGAUACUGACGCUGAGGCGCGAAAGCUGGGGGAGCGAACAGGAUUAGAACCA
rnacentral:rRNA from 1 species